CGACUGUUCUUGCUAUUUCAGCUCAAAUUGUAAAUUCAAGGUAUCAGCUCAGAUUCAGGUACUUUAUUGUAGAAGAUGGUUUCAGUUUUAUGCCACCGCUCUAAGGCUGCAACUAGUCCUUCUCAUGCAUCAAAUAGAGACUUGUUUGACAUGCGUAUACCUAGAUGUCCAGCAGCUUCAGCAAUUCAGUUUUUUGCUUCUUUUGACAUGCAACUACUAUAGGAGUGGUACCUUUAUUGACAUCCAAGUAGUGAAGAAUAUAGUAUAUAUUUUGACAUCCAACUAACAAAGAAAGUGUAGUUAUUUUAUACUAUUGUUUAUAUGUUAGUUAUAGUUGGAUGUGUUUAUGAUACUAUUGGCUUAUAUAUAUAUAUAAUAUUUUGUUAUUACU